UAGAUUUUCAGGUCAAGUUACUAAGGGCGUGAGGUGAAUGCCUUGGCACAGAAAGGCGAUGAAGGGCGUGGUAAGCUGCGAAAAGCGUCGGUGAGGUGCAAACAACCCUAGAACCGGCGAUUCCCGAAUGGGGCAACCCAGUGCAGGUAAUGCUGCACUAUCAUAUACUGAAUACAUAGGUAUAUGAGGCUAACGAGGGGAACUGAAACAUCUAAGUACCCUCAGGAAUAGAAAACAAUAGUGAUUUCCCUAGUAGCGGCGAGCGAACGGGAAAUAGCCUAAACCUAUAUCACAUGUUACCCGUUGGUUUAGUGGUAUAGGGGUUGCGGGAGCAUACAGGCGGAGUGACGGAUCCGCCACAGAGUUACAAAGGUAUCGAUUAGUCGAACAGUUCUGGAAAGGCUGACCGAAGACGGUGAUAGUCCGGUAGACGAAAGUUGAUACUCUCUGGUUUGUUUCCCAAGUACCGCGGGACACGAGAAAUCUUGUGGGAAUCCAGGAGGACCAUCUCCUAAGGCUAAAUACUCUUCCGUGACCGAUAGUGAACCAGUACCGUGAGGGAAAGGUGAAAAGUACCCCGAGAGGGGAGUGAAAUAGUACCUGAAACCACACGCCUACAAUCUGUGGGAGCCGGAAUUUGAAUCUUCGGAUUCUUUGGAAGGUGACCGCGUGCUUUUUGCAUAACGAGCCAACGAGUUGCUCGUGCGUUGCGUUAGGUUAAGGAUCUCAGAUCCGGAGCCGAAGCGAAAGCGAGUCUUAAUAGGGCGCUAGUAACGUGCGGCAGACGCGAAACCGGGUGAGCUACCCAUGGCCAGGUUGAAGCGUCGGUAAAACGACGUGGAGGACCGAA
rnacentral:rRNA from 1 species